UUGGCCAUGGGAGCCCAGAGCGAUGCUGC
rnacentral:piRNA from 1 species